ACACAUGUUCUAACAUGUGUGAGACUGACUGCCUCUCCUCUAUGAAGAGAUGCCAGUGACAGCCAGGACUGGUGUAGGCUCUAUUGAGCAUCACAGUCAUAUGUGAGUGCCCAAGAGAAGCUAUUCACUUUCUCAGCUCACCCCAGGCGUGGGGUCACUCCCAGUGGCAGAGAUGCCCUGCAUUUCCAUUGCCUGGACUGAGGAACAGAUGAAAGGGGAACAACACCAGGGUGGUGGCCUGGGAUGUGCCUACUCCCUAAGCCAAGCCCCUAACCUGUCGUCGUCCAAUUGAUUUUGAUCAGGUGCCCCAUGGCCCCACUUUGAGAAGCAGAUCGAGUCCAUCUGUGCAUCUUCCCUGUUGUCCCUAAAAAUAAGGCUAAAAAAAGGCACCAGUUCAAAAAUCCAGUUUAUUUGUUUGAAGUUCAGGUUUACAGUUCCUCCCAUUCUCAGAUCACAGAAGAAGCAUCUGGAAGGAAAUGACCCCUGCACCCACCACACC
rnacentral:lncRNA from 1 species